rnacentral:rRNA from 1 species
UACGUAGGGUGCAGGCGUUAUUCGGAAUUACUGGGCGUAAAGCGUGCGCAGGCGGUUUGCUAAGUCAGGUGUGAAAUCCCCGGGCUUAACCUGGGAACUGCGCUUGUAACUAGCAGGCUAGAGUGUGGCAGAGGGGGGUGGAAUUCCAGGUGUAGCAGUGAAAUGCGUAGAUAUCAGGAGGAAUACCGAUGGCGAAGGCAGGUCUCUGGACUGAUACUGACGCUCAUGCACGAAAGCGUGGGGAGCAAACAGG